ensembl:lncRNA
CUCUGAAAAGAGCAAUUGAGAAAGGACAGAUGGGGGAAGAGUAAAGGAACUUGAAGGAACUUCAUACCCAAAAAAGCAAGAACCAAGAACAACACCUCAGCCAAGACUGAGUUAAGUCAAAGAUUUUGCUCUUCUUGUCAAAGUAAAACCCAGUCCUAAUUAACACGAAGCCAAAUGCCACGGCCAAGACUUCAGAAGAACACUCUUGUUGCCAAGUAGAUGCAAAACUGAAAAGAUGAUGGGUUUUUCCAGACUUCGUUAUGAAUUAACAAGGCUACCCAGGUGUAUUUAUCAUUCUGCAACAGACAAAUGUCUUUGCAAAACAGUGGGCCUCCUUCUCAAUCUUCUCUCAUGCCCUCUUUCACUAAGGCCAUCUGAAGAGGAGGGGGAGAUCCAUCCUCAGUCCCUGAGAUAUGUAUGGAUGGAGUGGGCUGCAGCUGCCCACUGGGGACUCCUGGACCAUGGAGAAGCUCCAGGCACCAUCUGCAAGGAGCUAUGGGAUCUGAGAGAGGACCAAAGGGACACUCACACCUUCACAGAACAGCAUUUGGGGACCUUGAGCUCAAACAGCUCUAUGGGUCAGUGCUUGCACAAGUGUCCCACACGAGCCACUGUGCCCUACAGCAAGCAGACGUGGCUCAGAUGGCCUUUUCCACCAAAAGAUGUGGAUUUAAGUGGUCAGAAGAAUGCACGGAUUUGGCAAGUCAUCCGGCCAGAUGAAAAAAUAUACACGAAACUGUGGGUUGUCUCUUUGUGUUGAUGCCUUUUUUUCUUUGGAAAAUUCAACAUCUGCCACAGCUUAUUCACACCAGCAGUACUAAAUCAAAACAAGAGUCAAGGCUAGAAACAAAAACAAAACAAGUCUUUUGUUUCGGGUCAGAUUUCAUUUUAUUUUUUUUCAGUCUCUGCUUUCAGUGGAGGAGGUUCUUCUGUUUAUUUGCCUCGUUUGACUCAGCCCAAAAUUCCCUUUGAUUUUGCAGUGCGAGCUGCUGAACACCACACUGGGUUAUUUGCACAGCUGCUUGCCCCACCACUGAGAACAAGUCCCUCUUGCUGGAGGACGUAGGGGCAACCAUUCAGGGUCACCAUAGAAGUGCCACAUGAAAUGUCCUGUGACAGAUCAGAAGGUCCACCAGUGUCCCCAUCCAACCCUUGGCAUUGUGCAAAGAAAUGAGUGUGGUGAAGCAAAAGAGCUGGAGGGUUCCUCAGUGACAGCUC